CCUACGGGGUGCAGCAGUAGGGAAUAUUGCUCAAUGGGGGAAACCCUGAAGCAGCAACGCCGCGUGGAGGAUGAAGGUUUUCGGAUUGUAAACUCCUUUUGUUAGAGAAGAUAAUGGCGGUAUCUAAAGAAUAUGCACCGGCUACCUCCGUGCAAGCAGCCGCGGUAAUACGGAGGGUGCAGCCGUAAUUCGGAAUCACUGGGCGUAAAGAGCGCGUAGGCGGGAUAGCAAGUCAGAUGUGAAAACCUAUGGCUUAACCAUAGAACUGCAGUUGAAACUGUUAUUCUAGAGUAUGGGAGAGGUAGGUGGAAUUCUUGGUGUAGGGGUAAAAUCCGUAGAGAUCAAGAGGAAUACUCAUUGCGAAGGCGACCUGCUAGAACAUAACUGACGCUGAUGCGCGAAAGCGUGGGGAUCAAACAGGAUUAGAUACCCCAGUAGUC
rnacentral:rRNA from 1 species